GCGGCCCCAGGCGGCAUGCGGCUCCCGUGGGCUCACUGUGCGGCCCGCGGGGGGUGCAGGCAAGCGGCGGGGGGGAAAGCCAAUGGCUGGCCGGCCGGCCGGCGGGUGGUGAAGAGGCCAGUGACUGGGGGGCAGGUAUUGAUAAAAACUUUGAAAUUAUUGAAGAACUUUCUGGCAUGUGCUCCAUGACAGGUCGCACAACCAGAAAAGAAAUCUCCAGUGAAGUGAUAAAGUACAUGAAUGAUAAGUUGGGAUUAGAUUUCACAAACUUGGUGGCCAUUUGUACUGAUGGUGCUCCAGCUAUGUGCAGAAAAAAUGUUGGAGCAGUUACUCUUCUUGAAGAAUUUAUCGGGAGACAAAUAACCAAACAUCACUGCAUUAUAUGUCAGCAGGUUUUGUUUAGCAAAGUCUUAAAAUUUGAGCAUGUAAUAUCAGUGGAGUUUCCAUCGUUAACUACAUCUGUUCUAGAGGACUAAAACAUAGGACAUUUCGAGCCUUUCUUGAAGGGGUAGACGCUGAGUGCAGCGACUUAAUCUACCAUACGGAAGUGAGGUGGCUGAGUCGAGGAAGAGUGCUCCAGUGUUUUGUUGCUUUGAAAGAGGAGGUAGCAAAAUUCCUAGAAAAUGGGCCAAUAAAAUUCCCAGAGCUUAAAAAUGAGUCCUGGAAUCAAGAUCUUUUUCUUUUGUGAUGUUACAGCACACCUGAAUGAUCUCAACAUUCAACUUCAAGGAAAAAAUCAUCUUAUAUUUCAAAUGUGUGCAGCAGUGAAAGCUUUCAAAAUGAAAUUGAAACUUUUCAGAAGUCAGCUGUCAAAAGGCGAAAUAUGUCACUUUCCCACUUGUGUACAGCGUAUUGCUCAGCACAAACACGCCGAGUUAGAAGAAAAAUAAAGAAAGCACAUUAAUCUUUUGAUUGAAGAAUUUGACAGAAGGCUUACUUUGUCUAAAGAAGACGACGUCCAGUUGAAGCUGAUUGAAGAUCCCUUUUCUGUGGAUCCAGAGGAAGUGCCACUAGAUUUGCAGUUGGAGGUUAUUGAACUUCAGUGUUUGGCAGUUUACUGAAAUAAGCACAGAGAAAGCAGCCUGCAGGACUUCUACAAAAGUCUGGACAAUGAAAAAUACAAGAAUCUUAUUGAAGUUGCACUGAAAACGUUCAGCAUUUUUGGAAGCACCUACAUAUGUGAACAAACAUUUUCCAUCAUGAACAUGAAUAAAAACAAGCAACGUACUUCUCUGACUGACAACCUUUUGGAAGACAUUAUGAAAAUAUCCACUUCAAAUAUGACCCCCGAAUAUGACAAGUUUGUUGCCGAAAAGAGAUGUACUAUCUCUCGUUAAAUGUGCAAGCUCAAAUUGUGCAGUGUAAAAAACAUGCCUGGUGAAAUGGAAGGAGGGUUCAGACAGGUGUCUGCAGCUUGAUUAUCUGGUAUAAUGGCAAAAAGAAAGUUGGACUUGCAUUCAGACUCUCUCAGGUGGGCAACAUUACAGCAGAGGCAGUUUACACAAUUAUGUACAACACUGGAGGCAUGUUCAGGAGGUGCACUGACCUGAUGAAGACAAUUUGGCAGGAAUGCAUCCUAGGAAGGAACCAAGCAAUUCAGAACGAAGAAGAUAUUGCAACUAAGAUUUUG